rnacentral:rRNA from 1 species
UGGGGAAUAUUGGGCAAUGGGCGCAAGCCUGACCCAGCAACGCCGCGUGAGGGAAGAAGGUCUUCGGAUUGUAAACCUCUGUCCUUGGGGACGAAAAAAAUGACGGUACCCAAGGAGGAAGCUCCGGCUAACUACGUGCCAGCAGCCGCGGUAAUACGUAGGGAGCGAGCGUUGUCCGGAAUUACUGGGCGUAAAGGGUGCGUAGGCGGCUUGGCAAGUCAGAUGUGAAAUCCCCGGGCUUAACUCGGGAGUUGCAUUUGAAACUGCUAGGCUUGAGUGCAGGAGAGGAAAGCUGAAUUCCUAGUGUAGCGGUGAAAUGCGUAGAUAUUAGGAGGAACACCAGUGGCGAAGGCGGCUUUCUGGACUGUAACUGACGCUGAGGCACGAAAGCGUGGGGAGCAAACA